GUUGGCUAUGGAGACAUCUACCCUAAAACACUCUUAGGUAAGAUCGUCGGUGGCUUGUGUUGCAUUGCUGGUGUCUUAGUCAUUGCGCUCCCUAUACCAAUCAUUGUAAAUAAC